ACCGACAGUAGAAACAUGGACUGUUUCAGAAGAAAAGAUGUCGGUUUCUGUCCACAGAGAAGAAGAGUACUCAUAUGUCACAGAGCCAGCAGAGCAUGAGAAGACAGUUGAAGAAAGAUUCUUUGAAGCUGUUUACCCAACUGAAGCACGUAAGGAAGUCAAAGAGGAGGAAGAAGAAGAAGAGGUCAUUUCUGCAGAACUGGAGAUCCCUCAUGAUGAAG